GCAAUCAUGUGAGGGAAGGAGAUAGCUCUGCCCUCACGGCAAACCAUAGCGAGACAAAGGAGAAGAUUAUUCAAUCAGGUAACCUUUGCUUGUAUCAGAUUAAAAUGACUCUCUGGCAGGAGGUUCAUAAAUCUGAAAUACCAAAGAUUUGCAUCAUUUUGAACUAUCUUCUCCAAUCAGGUAAACUCUGUAUAUGAUUUUGCAGAGGACCUAACAAAAGGAAUUUACCA
rnacentral:lncRNA from 1 species